rnacentral:tRNA from 1 species
GCCCUGGUGGCAAAGUGGUUAAGCGUUUGGCUGCUAACCAAAAAGUCGAUUCUGACUCAUGGCG